rnacentral:rRNA from 1 species
CGACGGUAACAUUUCUAGCUUGCUAGAAGAUGACGAGUGGCGGACGGGUGAGUAAUGCUUGGGAACUUGCCUUUGCGAGGGGGAUAACAGUUGGAAACGACUGCUAAUACCGCAUAAUGUCUUCGGACCAAACGGGGCUUCGGCUCCGGCGCAAAGAGAGGCCCAAGUGAGAUUAGCUAGUUGGUAAGGUAACGGCUUACCAAGGCGACGAUCUCUAGCUGUUCUGAGAGGAAGAUCAGCCACACUGGGACUGAGACACGGCCCAGACUCCUACGGGAGGCAGCAGUGGGGAAUAUUGCACAAUGGGGGAAACCCUGAUGCAGCCAUGCCGCGUGUGUGAAGAAGGCCUUCGGGUUGUAAAGCACUUUCAGUUGUGAGGAAAAGUUAGUAGUUAAUACCUGCUAGCCGUGACGUUAACAACAGAAGAAGCACCGGCUAACUCCGUGCCAGCAGCCGCGGUAAUACGGAGGGUGCGAGCGUUAAUCGGAAUUACUGGGCGUAAAGCGCACGCAGGCGGUUUGUUAAGCUAGAUGUGAAAGCCCCGGGCUCAACCUGGGAUGGUCAUUUAGAACUGGCAGACUAGAGUCUUGGAGAGGGGAGUGGAAUUCCAGGUGUAGCGGUGAAAUGCGUAGAUAUCUGGAGGAACAUCAGUGGCGAAGGCGACUCCCUGGUCAAAGACUGACGCUCAUGUGCGAAAGUGUG